rnacentral:rRNA from 1 species
UGGUGAUCAUAGCGGAAGGGAAACACCCGUUCCCAUUUCGAACACGGCCGUUAAGCCUUCCAGCGCCGAUGGUACUGCUCCGGCAGCGGAGUGGGAGAGUAGGUCGUCA